CAAACUGUUGCCUCGGCGGGACUCUGCCCCGGGUGCGUCGCAGCCCCGGACCAAGGCGCCCGCCGGAGGACCAACCAAAACUCUUAUUGUAUACCCCCUCGCGGGUUUUUUACUAUCUGAGCCAUCUCGGCGCCCCUCGUGGGCGUUUCGAAAAUGAAUCAAAACUUUCAACAACGGAUCUCUUGGUUCUGGCAUCGAUGAAGAACGCAGCGAAAUGCGAUAAGUAAUGUGAAUUGCAGAAUUCAGUGAAUCAUCGAAUCUUUGAACGCACAUUGCGCCCGCCAGUAUUCUGGCGGGCAUGCCUGUCCGAGCGUCAUUUCAACCCUCGAACCCCUCCGGGGGGUCGGCGUUGGGGAUCGGCCCUUUACGGGGCCGGCCCCGAAAUACAGUGGCGGUCUCGCCGCAGCCUCUCCUGCGCAGUAGUUUGCACACUCGCAUCGGGAGCGCGGCGCGUCCACAGCCGUUAAACACCCCAAACUUCUGAAAUGUUGACCUCGGAUCAGGUAGGAAUACCCGCUGAACUUAAGCAUA
rnacentral:rRNA from 1 species